rnacentral:rRNA from 1 species
UACAGAGGGGGCAAGCGUUAUUCGGAAUUAUUGGGCGUAAAGGGCGCGUAGGCGGCUUUGCAAGUGACGGGUGAAAGCCCUCGGCUUAACCGAGGAACUGCCUGUCAGACUGUAAGGCUUGAGACCGGGAGAGGUGAGUGGAAUUCCCAGUGUAGCGGUGAAAUGCGUAGAUAUCGUAAGGAAGACCAGUGGCGAAGGCGGGUCUCUGGACAGUUCCUGACGCUGAGGCACGAAGGUCAGGGGAGCAAACGGG